rnacentral:rRNA from 1 species
UACAGAGGGUGCGAGCGUUGUCCGGAAUCACUGGGCGUAAAGCGUGCGCAGGCGGUUUUGUAAGCCAGAUGUGAAAUCCCCGGGCUCAACCUGGGAAUGGCAUUUGGGACUGCAAGGCUGGAGUGCGGCAGAGGAGACUGGAAUUCCUGGUGUAGCAGUGAAAUGCGUAGAUAUCAGGAGGAACACCGGUGGCGAAGGCGGCGACCUGGGUUGAUACUGACGCUGAGGCGCGAAAGCGUGGGGAGCAAACAGG